CACCCGCCUCGCCCCGCCUCGCCCCGCGCGGAGGUCGCCUCGGGGCUCACGGUCGCCCCCUGCUGGAUCCGGCCGCGUCCAGCCGCGGGGGGCGGUGCCGGUGCCGGUGCCGGGAGCCUGGGCCCGGGGGCCUGCGGCUCACGCUGCUGCGGCCUCUGAAGACAGCCCUGGGGUAGCGAGUGGGCGCGGGGCCGGGAGCCGUGAGGCCUUGCUCGCAGGCAGUGAACGAGUCACGUCUUGUGCGAUCGGCCCCUGAGGCAGCCGGACACGACACACGUGCGGGGCGCGGUCGAAAAGGCCGCGUGGUGACAGACUGAGUCUCCGCACGUGAGGCCGGAGGCAGGAAAGGCUCUUCAAGUACAACUUCCGUGCAAAAAAGUCUGAUUACUACUGCAGUGUGAAGAUCCAAACAGAAGGCUGGGAGAUGUACAAGUUGUGACCGAAGAGACUGAGACUUCAACGGGAGACAGAAAUACACAUGAAGGCAUGGACCCUGUUUCUUCCUGGGUGUUUGAGAGGAUGUAGGAGUGAUUAUCUGGAGCAUUUACAUUCCAUGUUUACAUGUUUUUGAAACAGUAGUUGUGCUUGCUAAAGUACCCAUUGUCUUUCCAAGGUUGGAGAUCAAUGGACUGCUUUUCAAUGGCUUCUUCUGAUGGAAAUAAAAGUUGCAACAAAAUGGGUCCAAA